rnacentral:rRNA from 1 species
UACGUAGGGGGCAAGCGUUGUCCGGAUUUAUUGGGCGUAAAGAGCGUGUAGGCGGCCAUACAGGUCAGCUGUGAAAACUCGAGGCUCAACCUCGAGACGUCGGUUGAAACCGUAUGGCUAGAGUCCGGAAGAGGAGAGUGGAAUUCCCCGGUGUAGCGGUGAAAUGCGCAGAUAUCGGGAAGAACACCCGUGGCGAAGGCGGCUCUCUGGGACGGUACUGACGCUGAGACGCGAAAGCGUGGGGAGCGAACAGG